rnacentral:ncRNA from 2 species
GAUUUAUAAAGAAGAAGUGAGAGAUUAGGCUCUAUGACCUUCUGGCAACCAACUAAAAGCCCUGAGUUUAUCGAAGGGUUGGAAAACAGGUGCCAAAUCCUAACCCGAAUGUUCGGGAGAGAUAAAUA